rnacentral:rRNA from 1 species
UACGUAGGGUGCGAGCGUUGUCCGGAAUUAUUGGGCGUAAAGGGCUCGUAGGCGGUGUGUCGCGUCGGCCGUGAAAACCUGCAGCUUAACUGUGGGCUUGCGGUCGAUACGGGCAUCACUGGAGUUCGGCAGGGGAGACUGGAAUUCCUGGUGUAGCGGUGAAAUGCGCAGAUAUCAGGAGGAACACCGGUGGCGAAGGCGGCGACCUGGGUAGAUACUGACGCUGAGGCGCGAAAGCGUGGGGAGCAAACAGG